GACCACGAGACCGAUNGCGAACAAGUACCGUGAGGGAAAGUUGAAANGAANUUUGAAGAGAGAGUUCAAAAGUACGUGAAACCGUUCAGGGGUAAACCUGAGAAACCCGAAAGGUCGAACGGGGAGAUUCAGACGUGUCUCGGAGAACCGCGCGAGUCGGUGAUUGCGAGUGACGGUCGGCGUUCGCGUCGGCUGCGCCGCCACCGUUCCGUCCGCGGCCGAACGCGUGCACUUCUCCCCCUGUAGGACGUCGCGACCCGUUGGGCGCCGGUCGAAGGCGCGCGGUGGAGGCCCCGUGAACUUCGCGUUCGCGCGGACCNGGUGCCGGCGGU
rnacentral:rRNA from 1 species